CCCCUCUCCCCUUUCUGGGUGUUGACAUUGUUCUUAAACAGUUUUUCUGAGGAGCUGCCAGCCCUUCUUGUUUGGAGUGUAGCUUAGGAAACAGCUGAUAUUGGAUGUACAGUUUAGCCUUGGCCUUCUCAAUGCUGUUAGAGGUAUGUGGUGCCACUUCAGAGUUGCUAAGUUUAAGUGUGUGUCUCCCUGUGUAGAUUUGCAUCAUUGGUUGCUGUUUACAUCAUUGGGGGUUUCUUAUACCAGCGACUGGUAGUGGGGGCCAAGGGGAUGGAGCAGUUUCCUCAUCUGGCCUUCUGGCAGGAUCUUGGCAACCUAGUAGCUGUAAGUAGCAAGAUUAAUUUGGGCUAAGCCUUGGAUAUUGGGUAUUCUUUGAAAAAAACAAAAAACCCACUGUCAUUUUGAAACCAUAUUUCACUCUAAAAUAGAUGAUCAAGACUGUCUUUCCUUUGCUUUUUCCCUCCAGGAUGGUUGUGACUUUGUGUGCCGUUCCAAACCCCGCAGUGUGCCUGCGGCCUAUCGUGGCGUCGGGGAUGACCAGCUGGGGGAAGAGUCAGAAGAAAGGGAUGACCAUUUGCUACCAAUGUGAUUGCACUUUUCAUGUCCAGCCACCUCUUCAGUCCCCAAACCAAAGCAUCCUCAGCAGACUUCUCGAGCAGUCUCCCCCUCUCACCUCGCCAUUAAUAUUCUUGCUUUCCAGUUGGCUUUGAUUUGACACUAACCUGCCUCCCUUUGCUCCUAUUGUUUUUCCUCUGCACUAGUACAGUGGAAGGCAGACAGACAUAGGGCCUGUGCUGUGGGGAGGCAGACUCCUAUACCCCAGGAAGAGAAAGGACAGCUAACUAGGCAGAAAGAAAGCCAUGAGCCCUGGCUGUAAACAUUUCCAUAAAUUGAGACACUGGGUUCUUUGCUCGUACCUUUGGUUGCCUCCCUCAUGUUGUCCCUGUCCCCGCAGUAGUCCCAGGAUCUGAGUGUAACUCGCAGGUGCUCUGCAGGACUUCUUACCUGGCUGUCACCCAAAUACUCCCGUUUGCUUUGAGCCUGCAAUUAGUCACAUGAUUGUCCCUUGUGUGGGAUUAGGACAGGGAAAAAAAUGUGAACUUUCCCAACUUGAGGAUUCUAAGGCGCCAUCACGUUGCUUAUAGGUCUUUGAGUGGCUUGAUAGUUUGAAUUGGGCCCUAGGCUGCGGUUAUAAAUCCAUAGGUAACCCAAAUGCCUAACCAAGUAGUCCUUUCUAAUUACACAGACUGUGUCACCUUGUGGUAGUCUCGCUAGCCAGCCUUAUUCUUCCUCCUCUCCCUACUGGUACUUGCAAACCUGAGUUGUACUUUUCUCACAGGUCUGUAGUUUGGCUUUUUAUACUUUCCCCAAUCUUAAAGGAAGGGAAUGGAAGCAGAAGUGGACGUGGAGGCUCUGCAGGUCUCUGCUAUGGUGGGGACACUGCUGCACCUGUCCCUCCUGCUGGCUCAGGGAAGUGUCUGACCCACUUAUCUAUGGAAAAGGUCUUUAAUCCUCUAUUUCUUUGUGUUUAAGCCAUGUGCCCAGAAUCCCAGGCUGGUCUUUCUAAAAUAGUGAAUUCCUAGGCCACUAGGUAACAACACAGUUCAUCUGAACACAGGCGAUGUGGAAAAGGCAGGGCCAUUUGUUCCCUUUAGAGAAAAUGAAUGACGUUAUUCCUACUUCCCAAUACCCUUGCAAUGGCAAUGGAAAUUUUGUUUUCUUUCUAUACAGGAAAAAUAAUGUUAUUUUUAAAAAGGCUUCUCAUUUGUUGUUUGCAUUCUAACCCCUGUGGUUUUAAAGGAAAAAUAAUAUACCACUUUUGUACAAAACCAAUAAUUAAAAACAUAAAAAACA
rnacentral:lncRNA from 1 species